GUGCUCGUUUUGGCAGCACAUAUACUAAAAUUGGAACGAUAUAGAGAAGAUUAGCAUGGCCAUUGCGCAAGGAUGACAUGCAAAUUCGUGAAGCAUUCUAUAUUUUU
ensembl:snRNA U6 U6 spliceosomal RNA